CGCGUCGGGCAGCGAGUGAGCUGCGGCCGGCACGUGGCAGCCGCGGCGGCUCGGUCCCCUUCCGAACGGAGGUCGGCGUCCUCCGCUGCAUUGACCCCUCUCCCCUUCCUCACUCGAUCUGUCCUCACUCGAUCUGUUUCCUGGCGGAGGUCGACGUCCCCGACGCUACCGGCCCUGGAGGUCUCCGCUACGGAGCAGUGCAUCUACGGUAGGUGGAUUUGGCUCAGGUAAGAUUCAUAUUGCUUGGAUUUCGAUCUCUCUUCCCGCUCCCUGCUCAGCUUGAAGAUCUCUACUACAUGGAAUGGAGAUUGCUGCAGAGAAAACUUGGAUCAGCCACAUGGUCGAGGUGCUCGUCGGACAUAACGGCGGCUCCUGAUGCCGCAUUAACAGCAGGGGCAAAAGAAGAGGCGACCACGCAGGUCCCUGCUGGGGCGGUGGCGCCGUCGGGUGGCCUCGUGCCACCGUCCUAGCGCGGCCGCAUGGCCGGGACGGCUGGCGACCGGCGUGACCCGUGUUGGGGAAGCCACGGCCGCGGCGCGUUACCUCUUCCUCUCCGUUGCCCCGGCUCAGCUCAGCGACCUGAUCUGGUUGUCGUAUUCAGAGAUGCCGCAGUCCUUAUGCUUAAUUAUAUUCAUGAAAUUAGACCGCAUGGUUUUAAGUUGGAGUACAUCUACUUCGAAAUUAGCAUACAUAUUUGACUGAAUGGUAAGCUGGACUACAACUAUUUCAAAAUUAAGAUGCAUAUUUGACUCAAUGGAGAGGUACAUCCUUAAGAGAUGUAAUAGCAUGGGCCACAGCAGUUGCAAUUUCCAAAAUCAGUUAAGAUUCCAGUAUUUUAGUACAUGUAUCUAAAGUGUUCUUUCAUUUUUUUUUAGGUUGUUAUAUUCAGAGAUGCUGUAGUUCUUAUACUGAAUUGUGUUCAUGACAUUCGAGCACAAGGUUUUAAGUUGGACUACAGCUAUUGCAAAAAUAAGAUGCAUAUUUGACUGAAUGCUAAGUUGGAGUACAGCUAUUUGGAAAUUAAGAUGCAUAUUUGACUCAAUGGAGACGUACAUCCUGAAGAUAUGUAAUAGCAUGGGCCACAUCAUUUGCAAUUUCCAUUCUCAGUUUAAAUUCAAACAUCUUACCAUUUAUAGUUGCAUAUAGCUAUCCUCAUGUAAAGGUAUACUUCCUUCUCUAUCUGUUUUGCCCUCUUUCUUGUUGGACAUGUUGAUUCUUGAACUUUCUUGGAUAACAUAGUAAUAACUAGAUAUUGGGAAUUAAAUUUGACGUCAAUUGUGAUUAUGCUUACAUAUUUAAGAAGCAAAUCUUUGUAAGCCCAUUGAUUCAUAGACAUUCAAUUAUGCUUGUUGGUGGACUAUAAUAAAUCUGGAUGAACUGAUAAACAUAAUGCGAUGCCCUUCAGCUGCGCUUACAACUUUUCAUUCAUAUGCGUAAGUUGAAGUGUACUUUUACUACUAUUUUUCAUGUUUUGAUUACCUAAAUGUUCAACCAAGAUAUUUUUUUGGAAAUCAUUAAAUGACCCUAGAUUGAAUAAUGUUGCAUUCACAAUAUGAUUAUCUUGAUUCAUGAUUGCUUACCAAGUUUACUUCACAACGUCUACUAAUUUCCAUCCAAUGAGCAAAUAGCUAGGGUUAUUGGGCAGUUAAAUAAAGUUUCAGAGGUGUCAACAUCAUACGAUUAAAUUGGAUUGGAGAACUAAUAAACUUUCAGGGUUGUCCUGGAUUUAUUUUUUCAGAACCUUCCAUGUGUAUGACUGCUGCUGUAUCGCUAUCGUUGCUAUUGCUAUUCUUCUAUCUUCAUAUAAACCAUUUUACUUAAAUAGUGUAGCUGUUGUAUAUGAUUCAAUACCAGAGCAUCAGCUGGUCAUAUUUCUUUUUUUUAGCCAUAAAGAAACUUACAAAUAUGGGAGAUUGUUUGCUUCUAAUUUUCAUGUAUUCUCAUGCAUACCAUUUGCUUAUUGAAA